GGUCCAUAGGGCUCUAGACCAGGGUCCAUAGGGCUCUAGACCAGGGUCCAUAGACCAGGGUCCAUAGGGCUCUAGACCAGGGUCCAUCCAUAGGGCUCUAGACCAGGGUCCAUCUCUAGACCAGGGUCCAUAGGGCUCUAGACCAGGGUCCAUAGGGCUCUGACCAGGGUCCACAGGGCUCUAGACCAGGGUCCACAGGGCUCUAGACCAGGGUCCAUAGGGCUCUAGACCAGGGUCCAUAGGGCUCUGGACCAGGGUCCAUAGGGCUCUGGUUCAGACCAGGGUCCAUAGGGCUCUGGACCAGGGUCCACAGGGCUCUAGACCAGGGUCCACAGGGCUCUAGACCAGGGUCCACAGGGCUCUAGACCAGGGUCCACAGGGCUCUAGACCAGGGUCCAUAGGGCUCUAGACCAGGGUCCAUAGGGCUCUAGACCAGGGUCCACAGGGCUCUAGACCAGGGUCCAUAGGGCUCUAGACCAGGGUCCAUAGUGCUCUGGUCUAAAGUAGUGCACUAUAUUGAGGAUAUGAUACCAUUUGGGAUGCAUCCCAGGUCAGUGUUGACCUGAUCACUCAUCCUUUACAUUGGAAUAAAACAUUCAGAGGCCAUGGGAAUGUCCCAUUUCACCGCUUCACUUCAAUCUAACAGCAAGUCAAUGAGAAUAUAGUGGAUAUAUAUACACAUAUCACAACCCCUGGUCUGAGCUUAAAAACAUCUUAUUUGACAAGUGAGUUUAUUUACAGAGAUCAUUCCUAGUGUCUUUGUUCACUGCUGUCCAGCUGCCCUGAUUGAAAUGACUGCUAUUAGUUCACUAAAUAAUCUAUAUAUUUUUAUCAAUACCUUCUCAACACUCACCACAAGAGGUUCAGAAAACACUAGGUCUAAGAUCAGAAAACUCCAUGUCUCAGGUCAAGGAGCAGGUCUAGGAGCAGGUCUAGGAGCAGGUCUAGGAGCAGGUCUAAGAUCAGAAAACUCCAUGUCUCAGGUCUAGGAGCAGGUCUAAGAUCAGAGAACUCCAUGUCUCAGGUCAAGGAGCAGGUCAAGGAGCAGGUCUAAGAUCAGAAAACUCCAUGUCUCAGGUCAAGGAGCAGGUCAAGGAGCAGGUCUAAGAUCAGAAAACUCCAUGUCUCAGGUCAAGGAGCAGGUCAAGGAGCAGGUCUAAGAUCAGAAAACUCCAUGUCUCAGGUCAAGGAGCAGGUCAAGGAGCAGGUCUAAGAUCAGAAAACUCCAUGUCUCAGGUCAAGGAGCAGGUCAAGGAGCAGGUCUAAGAUCAGAAAACUCCAUGUCUCAGGUCAAGGAGCAGGUCUAAGAUCAGAAAACUCCAUGUCUCAGGUCAAGGAGCAGGUCAAGGAGCAGGUCUAAGAUCAGAAAACUCCAUGUCUCAGGUCAAGGAGCAGGUCAAGGAGCAGGUCUAAGAUCAGAAAACUCCAUGUCUCAGGUCAAGGAGCAGGUCUAAGAUCAGAAAACGCCAUGUCUCAGGUCUAGGAGCAGGUCAAGGAGCAGGUCAAGGAGCAGGUCAAGGAGCAGGUCUAGGAGCAGGUCAAGGAGCAGGUCUAGGAGCAGGUCAAGGAGCAGGUCAAGGAGCAGGUCAAGGAGCAGGUCUAGGAGCAGGUCUAGGAGCAGGUCUAAGAUCAGAAAACUCCAUGUCUCAGGUCAAGGAGCAGGUCUAAGAUCAGAAAACUCCAUGUCUCAGGUCAAGGAGCAGGUCAAGGAGCAGGUCUAAGAUCAGAAAACUCCAUGUCUCAGGUCAAGGAGCAGGUCAAGGAGCAGGUCUAAGAUCAGAAAACUCCAUGUCUCAGGUCAAGGAGCAGGUCUAAGAUCAGAA